CUGAGUUUGAGAUCUUUUUGAUUUCAUCUCCCACCCUUUGUUUACAAGACCUGUUGCUUCGGCGAGAUUGAUGAUUUCAUAUCAUCGGUUGAUUGAUUUCAAUGAACUUUGCUUGCCGAAGUUUUUUACAACUCUUUUUUAUGAUAUUCGAGUUUUUAAAACAAAAAAAAAUUA
rnacentral:misc_RNA from 1 species